ACGAGACGCGCGCCCCGCGCAUCUACAACCCGUGCACCCGUCGACGCUUCCGCCCUAGGGCGUGAGGCGUACGUGUCUCAUAAAACCUUUUGUGACCUCUGAAAACGUACGGCGCGUCUGUCGCCGCUUACAAUCAGAA
rnacentral:misc_RNA from 1 species